rnacentral:lncRNA from 1 species
AUGCUGCAGGGCACCUGGCUGACGAACAGUCGCAACCUCUCGCCGUCGCCAUCCUCCGCUUCUCCGGCCAUCACCGCGAUCUCUCUCUCUUCCCCUUUCGUGCAUGGAUCUUACGAAGGUCGGGGAAGGACGGUGAUGAUGGCGUGCCACGACGUCGAGAUGCCGUUCCUGCGGGGGAUUGACAUGAACCGGCCAGCGCUAGUGGCGGAGACGACGACGGCAAGGGGGGGGGGGGCGCAGCUGCAGCGAGGAGGACGAGGAGCCCGGCGUGACCUCCCCCAACAGCACGCUCUCCAGUCGGCAGCAACGACGAGGACUCCGGUGGCGGCGGCGGAUCUCGUGUACCACGGCCGGGGCAGGGUCGGGAGCAGCAGCAGCAGGGAGAAGAGAAGAGAGAAGAGAGAAAGGAGAAGAAAAGAGAAGAAAAUAAGAUAUGCAGAUGACAUGUGGGCCCCACGUGCUUUGUUUAAUUUUUUCUGCUGACUAGGAUUGC